CCUACGGGUGGCAGCAGUGAGGAAUAUUGGUCAAUGGACGAGAGUCUGAACCAGCCAAGUAGCGUGAAGGAUGACUGCCCUAUGGGUUGUAAACUUCUUUUAUAUGGGAAUAAAACGUUCCACGUGUGGGAUUUUGUAUGUACCAUAUGAAUAAGGAUCGGCUAACUCCGUGCCAGCAGCCGCGGUAAUACGGAGGAUCCGAGCGUUAUCCGGAUUUAUUGGGUUUAAAGGGAGCGUAGGUGGAUUGUUAAGUCAGUUGUGAAAGUUUGCGGCUCAACCGUAAAAUUGCAGUUGAAACUGGCAGUCUUGAGUACAGUAGAGGUGGGCGGAAUUCGCGGUGUAGCGGUGAAAUGCUUAGAUAUCACGAAGAACUCCGAUUGCGAAGGCAGUUCACUGGACUGCAACUGACACUGAGGCUCGAAAGUGUGGGUAUCAAACAGGAUUAGAUACCCCAGUAGUC
rnacentral:rRNA from 1 species